UUUGUUCCCUAAAUAGGGACUUGUAUGAACGGCCACACGCGGGCUUUACUGUCUCUUACUUCCAAUCCGUGAAAUUGACCUUCCCGUGAAGAGGCGGGAAUAUAAUAAUAAGACGAGAAGACCCUAUGGAGCUUUAAUUAACCGACCCAAAGAGACCAUAUGAACCAACCGACAGGAACAACAAACCUCUAUAUGGGCCGGCAAUUUAGGUUGGGGUGACCUCGGAGAACAAAACAACCUCCGAGUGAUUUAAAUCUAGACUAACCAGUCGAAAGUACUACAUCACUUAUUGAUCCAAAAACCUUGAUCAACGGAACAAGUUACCCUAGGGAUAACAGCGCAAUCCCUAUUUCAGAGUCCAUAUCGACAAUAGGG
rnacentral:rRNA from 1 species